GCCUUCUGAAAAGAUAUAGAAGGUCUAGCCUGCCCAGUGACAAAGUUAAACGGCCGCGGUACCCUAACCGUGCGAAGGUAGCGCAAUCACUUGUUCUUUAAAUAAGGACUAGUAUGAAUGGCAUCACGAGGAUUAUUCUGUCUCCCCCUUUUAAUUAGUGAAACUGAUCUCCCCGUGAAGAAGCGGGGAUUAUUUUAUAAGACGAGAAGACCCUAUGGAGCUUUAAACUUACACCACGUACCUUAAAUAAUUUCAUAAUAAAUGGGUAAGCCUGUGUGCCAGUUUUCGGUUGGGGUGACCACGGAGCAAAGCAAAACCUCCAUGCUGAAAAGAUACCUUCUUAAUCCAAGAAUAACACUUCAAAGAAUCAGAAUACUGACAUUAUUGAUCCAAACAAUUUGAUCAACGAACCAAGUUACCCUAGGGAUAACAGCGCAAUCCAUUUCAAGAGCUCAUAUCGACAAAUGGGUUUACGACCUCGAUGUUGGAUCAGGGUAUCCCAGUGGUGCAGCCGCUACUA
rnacentral:rRNA from 1 species